GUCUUGCUGAGGAGUCCCACAAUUGGACAAAACGAUCGUCCAGUAC
rfam:Schistosoma rodhaini strain Burundi genome assembly, scaffold: SROB_scaffold0007499